rnacentral:rRNA from 1 species
UACGUAGGGGGCUAGCGUUGUCCGGAUUUAUUGGGCGUAAAGAGCGUGUAGGCGGCCAUGUAGGUCCGGUGUGAAAACUCGAGGCUUAACCUCGAGAUGUCAUCGGAAACCAUUUGGCUAGAGUCCGGAAGAGGAGAGUGGAAUUCCUGGUGUAGCGGUGAAAUGCGCAGAUAUCAGGAAGAACACCAAUGGCGAAAGCAGCUCUCUGGGACGGUACUGGCGCUGAGACGCGAAAGCGUGGGGAGCGAACAGG